ACAUUUACCUGGCAGGGGAGGUACCACGAUCACGAGGGUGGUUUUCCCAGGGCCAGCUUCACCCGUCGCACCGCGGAUGUGCUGCCCCCCGCGAUGUCCCCACGUGUGGGAAUCCUGACUGCAUAAUUGGUGGUAGUGGGGGACUGUGUUCACUCUCUCCCCUG